rnacentral:rRNA from 1 species
GAUGAACGCUGGCGGCGUGCUUAACACAUGCAAGUCGAACGGUGAAAGAGAGCUUGCUCUCUGGAUCAGUGGCGAACGGGUGAGUAACACGUGAGCAAUCUGCCCNUGACUCUGGGAUAAGCGCUGGAAACGGCGUCUAAUACCGGAUACGAGCUGCGAAGGCAUCUUCAGCAGCUGGAAAGAACUUCGGUCAGGGAUGAGCUCGCGGCCUAUCAGCUAGUUGGUGAGGUAAUGGCUCACCAAGGCGUCGACGGGUAGCCGGCCUGAGAGGGUGACCGGCCACACUGGGACUGAGACACGGCCCAGACUCCUACGGGAGGCAGCAGUGGGGAAUAUUGCACAAUGGGCGCAAGCCUGAUGCAGCAACGCCGCGUGAGGGACGACGGCCUUCGGGUUGUAAACCUCUUUUAGCAGGGAAGAAGCGAAAGUGACGGUACCUGCAGAAAAAGCACCGGCUAACUACGUGCCAGCAGCCGCGGUAAUACGUAGGGUGCAAGCGUUAUCCGGAAUUAUUGGGCGUAAAGAGCUCGUAGGCGGUUUGUCGCGUCUGCUGUGAAAACUGGGGGCUCAACCCCCAGCCUGCAGUGGGUACGGGCAGACUAGAGUGCGGUAGGGGAGAUUGGAAUUCCUGGUGUAGCGGUGGAAUGCGCAGAUAUCAGGAGGAACACCGAUGGCGAAGGCAGAUCUCUGGGCCGUAACUGACGCUGAGGAGCGAAAGGGUGGGGAGCAAACAGGCUUAGAUACCCUGGUAGUCCACCCCGUAAACGUUGGGAACUAGUUGUGGGGUCCAUUCCACGGAUUCCGUGACGCAGCUAACGCAUUAAGUUCCCCGCCUGGGGAGUACGGCCGCAAGGCUAAAACUCAAAGGAAUUGACGGGGACCCGCACAAGCGGCGGAGCAUGCGGAUUAAUUCGAUGCAACGCGAAGAACCUUACCAAGGCUUGACAUAUACGAGAACGGGCCAGAAAUGGUCAACUCUUUGGACACUCGUAAACAGGUG